rnacentral:rRNA from 1 species
AGGAAGAGAAAAUAAAUUAAUGAUUCCCCCAGUAGUGGCGAGCGAACGGGGAACAGCCCAAACCAGUGGCGUCGCAAGGCGUGGCUGGGGUUGUAGGACCGCGACAUUGUAUGCAAAUCGUGAACAGAACACUUUGGAAAAUGUGACCAUAGACGGUGAUAGUCCAGUAUGUGAAGCGAAAUGCAGCAUAGCGGUAUCCUGAGUAACGCGGGACACGAGGAAUCCUGCGCGAAUCUGCCGGGACCAUCCGGUAAGGCUAAAUACUCCCGUGAGACCGAUAGCGAACGAGUACUGUGAAGGAAAGGUGAAAAGAACCCCGAGCAGGGGAGUGAAAUAGUUCCUGAAACCAUGCGCCUACAAGCGGUCGGAGCAUCUUACGAUGUGACGGCGUGCCUUUUGCAUAAUGAUCCUACGAGUUACCGUCACUGGCGAGGUUGAGUGUCAUGAGACACGUAGCCGCAGUGAAAGCGAGCCUGAAUAGGGCGCACAGUCAGUGGGGGUAGACGCGAAACCAAGUGAUCUACACUUGGCCAGGAUGAAGUCCCGGUAACACGGGAUGGAGGUCCGCACCAAUAAGCGUUGAAAAGCUUCUGGAUGAGCCGAGUGUAGGAGUGAAAGGCCAAUCAAACUUGGAGAUAGCUCGUACUCCCCGAAAGGCAUUUAGGUGCCGCGUCGGAUGGUCACCGUGAGAGGUAGAGCGACCGAUAGGACAAGAGGGCUUCACCGCCUAUCGAGUCCUGACGAACUCCGAAUGCUCACGGUCUGCAGUCCGGCAGUAAGGGGGCGGGUGCUAAGGUCCGUCCCCGAGAGGAGAAGAAUCCAGACCGCCGUCUAAGGUCCCGGAGUUCUGCCUGAGUUAGUCUAACGAAGUCUGGUCCCUAUGACAGCUAGGAUGUUGGCUUGGAAGCAGCCAUUCAUUCAAAGAGUGCGUAACAGCUCACUAGUCGAGGGUCCGGGCAUGGAUAAUAAUCGGGUAUAAGGCAGACACCGAAGGCGCGGGAUAGCAU